AGGGCCCUGCAAAUGCUAGGGCCGGCCCUGUGAAUAGUUACCAGAGUCCGAAACAAAAAUUAAUCCCACGCUCAGACAUAAUGUUUCUCAAGGGAGAGAACUCAACAAAAAAAAGUGAAAGAUAUUAAAGAGAGCAGUGAAAGAGUUUCAGCCAGGAAGAGACAGUGAUUGAGAUGGUACGUGAGACAAACUUAGAGCCUGGGAAAGGAAAAAGUAAAGAAAGAAAAAACAAAUCACGCUUUUGUGAGAGUUCUCCAACUGCCUCUCUCAGAGGCCAUCUGAUGCCAGACAAUGCUGCCAGGUACUUUCCUCUAUGCCAGUGAGGGCGAAAUGGCGCCUGAGUGGAUCUUUAUGGCACUUACCUACUGUAAGCUCGCAAAAGAAGAUCGCCUUUUGUAUGCGGACGUCUUCCAUUCGGUAUAAGUGUUACUGACACCAUACAAAUUAAUAAAUAGAUGACAUUUUGUUCAUAUUUGCCUU